GGGGAAUAUUGGACAAUGGGCGCAAGCCUGAUCCAGCCAUGCCGCGUGAGUGAUGAAGGCCCUAGGGUUGUAAAGCUCUUUCACCGGUGAAGAUAAUGACGGUAGCCGGAGAAGAAGCCCCGGCUAACUUCGUGCCAGCAGCCGCGGUAAUACGAAGGGGGCUAGCGUUGUUCGGAAUUACUGGGCGUAAAGCGCACGUAGGCGGACUGGUCAGUUAGGGGUGAAAUCCCGGGGCUCAACCCCGGAACUGCCUUUAAUACUGCCAGUCUAGAGUCCGAGAGAGGUGAGUGGAAUUCCGAGUGUAGAGGUGAAAUUCGUAGAUAUUCGGAGGAACACCAGUGGCGAAGGCGGCUCACUGGCUCGGUACUGACGCUGAGGUGCGAAAGCGUGGGGAGCAAAC
rnacentral:rRNA from 1 species